AUUGAACGCUGGCGGCAGGCCUAACACAUGCAAGUCGAACGAGUGGCGGACGGGUGAGUAAUGUCUGGGAAAAUGCCUGAUGGAGGGGGAUAACUACUGGAAACGGUAGCUAAUAACGCAUAACAUCAGAUGUGCCCAGAUGGGAUUAGCUAGUUGGUGGGGUAACGGCUAACCAAGGCGACGAUCCCUAGCUGGUCUGAGAGGAUGAAAACCCCCACUGUAACUGAGACACGGUCCAGACUCCUACGGGAGGCCGCAGUGGGGAAUAUUGCACAAUGGGCGCAAUCCUGAUGCAGCCAUGCCGCGUGUAUGAAGAAGGCCUUCGGGUUGUAAAGUACUUUCAGCGUGGAGGCGUUACCCGCAGAAGAAGCACCGGCUAACUCCGUGCCAGCAGCCGCGGUAAUUC
rnacentral:rRNA from 1 species